AAAACAAAAUACAAAACAAA
rnacentral:miRNA from 1 species